CCUACGGGAGGCAGCAGUGAGGAAUAUUGGUCAAUGGACGGAAGUCUGAACCAGCCAUGCCGCGUGCAGGAAGACGGCUCUAUGAGUUGUAAACUGCUUUUGUACAAGGGUAAACCUGAAUACGUGUAUUAAGCUGAAAGUACUGUACGAAUAAGGAUCGGCUAACUCCGUGCCAGCAGCCGCGGUAAGACGGAGGAUCCAAGCGUUAUCCGGAUUUAUUGGGUUUAAAGGGUGCGUAGGCGGUCCGGAAAGUCAGCGGUAAAAGCCCGGGGCUCAACCGCGGCGAGCCGUUGAAACUGUCUGACUAGAGAUGGCGUGAAGUACGCGGAAUGCGCGGUGUAGCGGUGAAAUGCAUAGAUAUCACGAAGAACUCCGAUUGCGAAGGCAGCUUACUAAACUGCCACUGACAUUGAUGCUCGAAAGUGUGGGUAUCAAACAGGAUUAGAUACCCCUGUAGUC
rnacentral:rRNA from 1 species